UGAAAAAGAAAAUGAUUGAAAGUUAUCUGCUUUUCUUAGUAUUAUGAUUUUUAAUUUAUGAAGCAUUUAUAUUCUCUUCCUCCACUAAAAAAUCAGGGAGGAGUGCUCUUCUUCUCUAUAACGGAGAAUCAGAAAAGUAAAGAGAGAAUUUCUGCUUUGCUUUUCCCUUAAUCCACUAAACCACAAAAUCCCCUAAAAAUUCAAAUUUUUGUGUUUGGAAAUGGGUGAAGUGAAGAGAAACAAGAAGAGACUGUCUAUAAAUCUUUCCCUUUUGCCCUCACUGAUCAUAGCAGCAACAACAAUAAAUUUCCUAAAAAGUUUAAGGACCCAAAUGGUGCUGUUGUUGGGCUAGGAAUUGUGGCAUCUAUGAAUAAAAACAAUGGAAAUAGUAGAGCUGUAAUUCUUGCAAUAUCUCCAAGAUCAACUACUUCAAACCCAAUUUUCACUAAGAAAAGUAGUAGUCCUAAGAAGAAGAAGCAGAGGCCUAGUAUUCAAGAAAUGGAGAUGUGUGAAGAGUACACUUGUGUGAUUUCUCAUGUGGGUACUAAUUUGAUUAAGAAAAGGGAAUAUUUUGAUGCUGAAUUUAUAGGAAACACCAACUCUGAUAAACCUGCUAUUCCUGCUGGGGUGAUCAAUCAUGGUGGUGAUACAGUAAAGUUUCGAAUGGCUCAUUUCCUGAAUUCUUGCUUUCUUUGCAAGAAGCAGCUUUAGGGGUUGGACAUUUUCAUCUAUAGGUAAUAUGUGGCAGGAAUCUGUAAUACAUCUUGUUUCUGCAUAUGGUCAGUAUUACCUUAUGUAAGGAAUAUCUUAGCUAAAAUCCAUCUUUCUCUUUUAACCUGUUGUAGGAAAAAUCUUUCUUGUAUGAACAAAGAUCUAUUUUUUUCUUUCGAGCUUGAAAUAAGUUAUUCCGUGUACCAUUCACAGACGGGAGAAGGCAUUUUGUAGUGCAGAGUGUCAUUGCACACAGAUAGCCAUAGAUGAACACAAACAGAAAUGUGGUUCUGGAGCCAUGAAAUCGCUUAGCGACUAUUCUGUUUC